rnacentral:rRNA from 1 species
GACGAACGCUGGCGGCGUGCUUAACACAUGCAAGUCGAACGGAAAGGCCCUGCUUUUGUGGGGUGCUCGAGUGGCGAACGGGUGCGUAACACGUGAGUAACCUGCCCUUGAUUUUGGGAUAACUUCAGGAAACUGGGGCUAAUACCGGAUAGGAGCUCCUGUUGCAUGGAGGGGGUUGGAACGUUUCGGCGGUUGGGGAUGGACUCGCGGGUUAUCAGCUUGUUGGUGGGGUAGUGGCUUACCAAGGCUUUGACGGGUAGCCGGCCUGGGAGGGUGACCGGCCACAUGGGGACUGAGAGACGGCCCAGACUCCUACGGGAGACAGCAGUGGGGAAUAUUGCACAAUGGGCAGAAGCCUGAUGCAGCAACGCCGCGUUCGGGAUGACGGCCUUCGGGUUGUAAACCGCAUUCGCCUGAGACGAAGCGUGAGUGACGGUAAUGAGUAAAGAAGCACCGGCUAACUACGUG